AUUGAACGCUGGCGGCAUGCCUUACACAUGCAAGUCGAACGGUAACAGGUUAAGCUGACGAGUGGCGAACGGGUGAGUCAUGUAUCGGAACGUGCCCUGUCGUGGGGGAUAACUGCUCGAAAGAUCAGCUAAUACCGCAUACGACCUGAGGGUGACAGCGGGGGCUCGCAAGACCUCGCGCGAUUGGAGCGGCCGAGAUCAGACUAGGUAGUUGGUGGGGUAAAGGCUCACCAAGCCGACGAUCUGUAGUUGGCGUGAGAGGAGGGCCGGCGACACUGGAACUGGAACAGGGACAAGACGCCUACGGGAGGCAGCAGUGGGGAAUUUUGGACAAUAGGCGCAAGCCUUAUACAGCCAGGCCGCGUGCGGGAAGGAGGCCUUCGGGUUGUAAACCGCUUUUGUCAGGGAAGAAAAGGUUCUGGCUAAUACCUGGGACUCGUGACGGUACCUGAAGAAUAAGCACCGGCUAACUACGUG
rnacentral:rRNA from 1 species